rnacentral:rRNA from 1 species
GACGAACGCUGGCGGCGUGCUUAACACAUGCAAGUCGAAUGGACUACUUUGCUUCGGUAAGGUGGUUAGUGGCGAACGGGUGAGUAACGCGUAGACAACCUACCUCUUAGAUGGGGACAACAUCGCGAAAGCGGUGCUAAUACCGAAUGAAGUGGCUUUCCUGCAUGGGAGAGAUACUAAAGGUGGCCUCUAUUUAUAAGCUACCACUGAGAGAUGGGUCUGCGUCUGAUUAGCUAGUUGGCGGGGUAACGGCCCACCAAGGCGACGAUCAGUAGCCGGUCUGAGAGGAUGAACGGCCACAUUGGGACUGAGACACGGCCCAAACUCCUACGGGAGGCAGCAGUGGGGAAUCUUCCGCAAUGGACGAAAGUCUGACGGAGCAACGCCGCGUGAGUGAAGAAGGUUUUCGGAUCGUAAGGCUCUGUUGUUUGAGACGAAUGUGCCUGCUUCGAAUAGGGAUAGGUAAUGACGGUAUUAAACGAGAAAGCCACGGCUAACUACGUGCCAGCCGCCGCCGUAA